AGAGUUUGAUCAUGGCUCAGGAUAAACGCUGGCGGCGUGCCUAACACAUGCAAGUCGAACGCGCACGGAGCAAUUCGUGUGAGUGGCGGACGGGUGAGUAACACGUGGGUACCUACCCCAAGGUGAGGAAUACCGGCGAGAAAUCGCCGACAAUACUGCAUACGUUUGCAAUGCAAACAAAGCUCGUAAGAGCGCCAUGGGAAGGGCCUGCGGCCGAUUAGCUCGUUGGUGGGGUAAAAGCCUACCAAGGCAACGAUCGGUAGCUGGUCUGAGAGGACGAUCAGCCACACUGGGAUUGAGAACGGCCCAGACUCCUACGGGGGGCAGCAGUGAGGAAUUUUCGUCAAUGGGGGCAACCCUGAACGAGCAACGCCGCGUGCAGGAUGAAGGUUUUCGGAUCGUAAACUGCUUUUCUCUGGGACGAGAACGGACGGUACCAGAGGAAUCAGCCCCGGCUAACUACGUGCCAGCAGCCGCGGUAAUACGUAGGGGGCAAGCGUUGUCCGGAUUUAUUGGGCGUAAAGCGCGCGCAGGCGGUCUGCCAAGUUCGGAGUGACAGUUUCCGGCUUAACCGGAAAAGGUCUUCGAAAACUGGUGGACUUGAGGACUUGAGAGGGAGACGGAAUUCCGGGUGGAGCGGUGAAAUGCGUAGAGAUCCGGAGGAACACCGAAAGCGAAGGCAGUCUCCUGGCAAGUUUCUGACGCUCAGGUGCGAAAGCUAGGGGAGCGAACAGGAUUAGAUACCCUAGUAGUCC
rnacentral:rRNA from 1 species